AUUGCUUCUCGGCCUUUUGGCUAAGAUCAAGUGUAGUAACUGUUCUUAUCAGUUUAAUAUCUGAUAUGUCCUCUAUACGAGGACAAACAUAUUAAAGUGAUUUUUAGAGCUGGGAGCUGAAAAAGGGGCUUGCUCCGUUCGCUCCACACAGCGUCCCGGCAUUGCAGUGCCGCCGGGUACGGUGCAACCUUC
rnacentral:snRNA from 1 species